rnacentral:rRNA from 1 species
CCUACGGGAGGCAGCAGUGGGGGAUAUUGGACAAUGGGGGAAACCCUGAUCCAGCGACGCCGCGUGAGUGAAGAAGUAUUUCGGUAUGUAAAGCUCUGUCAGCAGGGAAGAACGAACUGACGGUACCUGACCAAGAAGCCCCGGCUAACUACGUGCCAGCCGCCGCGGUAAUACGUAGGGGGCAAGCGUUAUCCGGAAUUACUGGGUGUAAAGGGCGCGUAGACGGUGAUGUAAGUCUGGAGUGAAAGGCGGGGGCCCAACCCCCGGACUGCUUUGGAAACUGUGUAACUUGAGUGCAGGAGAGGUAAGCGGAAUUCCUAGUGUAGCGGUGAAAUGCGUAGAUAUAAGGAGGAACACCAGUGGCGAAGGCGACUUACUGGUCUGUAACUGACGUUGAGGCGCGAAAGCGUGGGGAGCAAACAGGAUUAGAUACCCUAGUAGUC